AGUAUACUCCCUCCGUUCCGAAUUACUCGUCGCAGAAAUGAAUGUAUCUAGAUGUAUUUUAGUUCUAGAUACAUUCAUUUCUGUGACGAGUAAUUUGGAACGGAGGGAGUACUAA
rnacentral:pre_miRNA from 1 species